rnacentral:rRNA from 1 species
AAGUGGAGCAAUCCAUGAGUAUAGUGGCGACCGGGUGAGUAACACGUGACUACCUGCCCUUGAGUGGGGGAUAACCUCGGGAAACCGAGGCUAAUACCGCAUAAUAUCGCAAGAUCAAAGGAGCAAUCCGCUUUUGGAGGGGGUCGCGGCUGAUUAGCUAGUUGGUAAGGUAAUGGCUUACCAAGGCGAAGAUCGGUAUCCGGCCUGAGAGGGCGCACGGACACACUGGAACUGAAACACGGUCCAGACUCCUACGGGAGGCAGCAGUGGGGAAUAUUGCGCAAUGGGCGAAAGCCUGACGCAGCGACGCCGCGUGCGGGAUGAAGGCCUUCGGG